rnacentral:lncRNA from 1 species
AUCCCGGCGGCCGAGCGCUCCAGUACUCGCCGGGCUUCGCAGAUGGCUUGCCCCGCUCUCGGUCUGGAAGUCCUUCAACCCCUGCAGCCCGAACCACCUCCGGAGCCUGCCUUCGCCGAGGCACAGAAGUGGAUCGAGGUAGGUGCCGCCACCGGCGGGCGGCCUUGCAGGGGCGCCCCAAGCUGCUGCCCCGAGAGCAGCGACCUCAGGUCCAGCCUUCCCCCACUUUCGUGGCCAGCUUCCCCAGGUCAUCCUCCGCGGCCUUCGGAAGACUGAGAUCCCUUGGCGUUGGGGCUCUGGGAUGGUGGGCGUGAACAGGGGGGACACUGCGGUCUAGCUGUGCGCCCAGGGGCAAGAGGCUGUCCCCUGCGCCUUCAUCCCUGCUGCCUGCGGAGCUCGCAAUCUCCGCUUGGUUUGCAAGUGCUGCUACGGAAAGCGCAGUGCGAGCCGUAGCGCUGCAAAGGCUACAGGGGCUCGAGCUUCCAGAGCCCUUUGCGGGAGCCGCAUUUCGGGGUGUCCCGCUCACUGCUCCACAUUCCCUUGGCCUCUCUCUUCUCCCUUCCGGAGCAGAGUUGGCAGUAUCACCACUGAGGCUCAUACCCAUCCAAGCCUCUUGGCUGUGUUCUGGCACCCGUUCAGGUGCAAGGUUGGCGCAGAGCACAGCGUAGGGGGGAACCUGCAAGACCUAGUUGUGAGUGCGCUAUCCGUAGACACGCUGCCCAGCUAUCGGUUGUCCCAGAGACCGCAGGGUGGGCUGCAGCAGGCCCCGUACCGGGCCAGGUUGGCACAUUUCACUUCUUAAAUGACUCGGUGGAAGGCCAAGGAAAUCACUGGAGCUCUCGGCUCAGUCCAGGAAGCGCUCGCUGGGUGAUCCUGAUUCAUGAUGUCUAUCUGCAGGUGCAGCUCAGUAGCCCUGCUAUUCUGAAACAAUCCGGUCUUUGGGUUCAGGACGCGUGGAGGGCGAGAGUGGGAGAGGUGAUUUGUGAUCCACUCUUGGAAUUCCUAUGAACCACCUUUUAAAAUGCCUUGUAGAAGAGGAAUUUGGCUAAAUGGCGCGCAACCCCCUUGGCCUGAGAGUUCAAAGGAGGAUGUGUGCAGCUAAGUCGUGACCAAGCAAGAAUACGCUUCAGAGAACUCAGAUGGUCGCUUAGCGACCCCAUCCCCACCCUUGGGACAGCCCAGGUCUCCAAUGUUGGUAGGGUGAUAGAACUAUAGGGCUGUAUAUUUAAACCUGCUGGGUUGCCUGCAGAGGCUAUUGCUGGAAGGCUCAGCCACAGGCCGCCACCUUUCAGGGUCAACCAGCUUCAUGGAUGCAAAAAAGCUCCUUAGCGUUUGGAGCCAUCUAUUUAAAAACGGAACUAAGGAAACAAUAUAUACCAGGCACCAUUACUAAAAGUCAGGGCUGGCUUGUCUCUUGUAACUACCAGAUGUAACUUACUACCAGAUGAGAAAACGACGUUAGCCUCUUAUUUUUGAUGGAAGGCUUAUUUUGAUGGAAGGCUUGGAGCAUGACAGGUGUUCUCUCUGAGUUUGGGGCUCACAGGCUCACUGGAGACAGUAGUGGAGAGUUGUGUGACAGCUUCUUUCAACUUCUUGAAUUUUUUGGGGGGGAAAUUAGCCUCUGUUUUCUCAUAGGCACGUGAUUUAUUCCCAGUUUCUUUGAUAGUAACUGAUAGUAAUUUAUAGUAAUAUUGACAUACAUGUCCUGCCUUUAAAAGUGCAUUGUGGUAUAAACUCCAUGCAGGAUAGAAUGCAAAUCUGAAUCUCACAUCUCUGUGAAUUUUGGAAUAUGUACACAUAUUUAUUACAUCUCCCCAUAGAUCAAAAUAUAUAAAGAUUUUUUUUUCCUGUUGGUAUUUCAGGCUAAACAUUACACAGUGUAGAACAUUAGCUUUCAUAUCAGCUUGAGGAAAGGAAGAGACAGUUUAAGAAAGCAGAGCCGGGUUAAGCGCUAAACACAGUUUAGAAUGGCUCUUGAUACUUUGCCCUUUAAACCAGUCAAAGACAGUGAAAACCCAAAUGGUGUGUGUGUGGCUUUAGGACCAGGCUGCCAGGCACGCUGCGUGUGCAUAAUUGAAGUGGCCUAUCUCCUUUCCUCAGUGGAGUUGGAUUUCAUCAAAAGGGGAGUUUCCUCUCCUAAGCCCAGGCUGGGUAAAAAGGUGUGUGUGUGUGUGUGUGUGUGUGUGUGUGCAUUGGGGGAGUGCUCAACACUCCCCCCCCUUUCCCCUUCCCAUUCUUGAAAUGUAAAUGCCACGUUUGCAAACUGGGAGCCGGGGGCCAUAACAGAUGGUUUUGCACACAGUUGCCCACUGAACAAAGAUUCCUGGGCUAAUACAGCAAUAAUGUGUUUCUUAGUGUGAGCCGCUUCCCGUGGGGAUUCUUAUCAGGAGACAAUCGCAUCUCCCCUUAGGGGCCCAUUGUCUCUGGCAACAUCCUCAUUGGGGAGGGCUUUGUUUUUCGGUUUUGUUCCAUUGGUGAUUAAAUUUCCCACAGGCCUUUUUCAUUUUUUUCUUUCUGUGCAGUCAGGAAUUUUUC